rnacentral:RNase_MRP_RNA from 2 species
GGGUUGGAAGGUUGGAGUGAAUGGGCCUUGGGCUUGUGUAAAGCAGGUCUUGGCCCAGGAAAGUCCCCGGGCUUAUUUUCCACAGAGAUGUGGGUCUCGGAAACGAGUAUGCUUUACGAUGAAGGAUUCAGUUUCGCAUUCGUGUGAAACGGGGCUGAGACACGUGUGUGGAGCUCAUAUGAAUCUCUUACGGAAGUAUUUAUGGCCGAUUAACUACAGUUAUUCACUUGGGACUCCUUUGAACCUAACUGAACGGGGCUUACAACCUUUCAACC